rnacentral:rRNA from 1 species
AGAGUUUGAUCAUGGCUCAGAAUCAACGCUGGCGGCGCGCCUAACACAUGCAAGUCGAACGAGAAAGUGGAGCAAUCCAUGAGUACAGUGGCGUACGGGUGAGUAACACGUGGGUAAUCUACCUCUUUGUGUGGAAUAACCCUGGGAAACCGGAGCUAAUACCGCAUAAGCUCGAGAGAGGAAAGCAGCAAUGCGCUGAGAGAGGAGCCCGCGGCCGAUUAGCUAGUUGGCAGGGUAAAAGCCUACCAAGGCAAAGAUCGGUAGCCGGCCUGAGAGGGCACACGGCCACACUGGCACUGAAACACGGGCCAGACUCCUACGGGAGGCAGCAGUGGGGAAUCUUGCACAAUGGGGGAAACCCUGAUGCAGCGACGCCGCGUGAGCGAUGAAGCCCUUCAGGGUGUAAAGCUCUUUCGGCAGGGAAGAUGAUGACGGUACCUGCAGAAGCAGCUGCGGCUAACUACGUGCCAGCAGCCGCGGUAAUACGUAGGCAGCAAGCGUUGUUCGGAGUUACUGGGCGUAAAGGGUGUGUAGGCGGUCUUCUAAGUUUGGUGUGAAAUCUCCCGGCUCAACUGGGAGGGUGCGCCGAAUACUGAAAGACUAGAGUACGGGAGAGGAUAGUGGAAUUCCUGGUGUAGCGGUGAAAUGCGUAGAUAUCAGGAGGAACACCGGUGGUGUAGACGGCUAUCUGGACCGUAACUGACGCUGAGACACGAAAGCGUGGGUAGCAAACAGGAUUAGAUACCCUAGUAGUCC